AUGUAUCAUCAAACAAAGGAGGUGUAGCAUUAAAAGCAUAGCUUGUAAACUUGACUAAGCUCUUCCUUGAAAUUCUCUGAUAUAGCAAGUUCUUGUGUUAUCUCAACCAACACUUCCAAUUCAGCAAUGGCUUCCUCAACUUCUGCUAUGCAAUCUAUCCUGGCUAACCCUAUGAUCCGCAUGACCACCAGGUCAAGGGUGAACCAGUUCACCAUUCCUUCUGUCUACAUGCCAAGCCUGAGAAGGAACUCUAGCUUGAGAGUUAGGUCCAUGGCUGAAGAGCCAAAAGAGCAAAGUGCUAGCCCAGUUACUCCAUCACCACCACCACCAAAACCUCGUGCACCAAAGGUGAGUGAGCCAAGUGUUUGAAGAAUAUAAUUUACAUAGUUGUGACUCUGUUCACUAUUUUCUUUACAUUUAAUUAGUUAUAUAUGCUAAUUAAUCCUUGGAUAUGAGACUUUACUAACAUGAGUGAUGGUAAAAUUGCAGGUGAGCACUAAGUUUUCAGAUGUGAUGGCAUUUGGUGGGCCUGCACCUGAGAGGAUCAAUGGAAGAUUGGCCAUGAUUGGGUUUGUAGCUGCAAUGGCAGUGGAAGUUGCCAGAGGGCAGGGAGUGUUUGAACAAAUAUCAGAUGGUGGAGUUCCAUGGUUCUUGGGAACUAGUGUGGUGCUCACUCUAGCUUCAUUGGUUCCACUGUUUCAAGGGGUUAGUGUGGAGUCAAAGUCCAAAGGAGUCAUGACCUCUGAUGCAGAGCUCUGGAAUGGAAGGCUUGCUAUGUUGGGUUUGAUUGCCUUGGCCUUUACAGAGUAUGUUAAGGGAGGAAUCCUGGUGUAAGAGUUCAAAGGCUUAGGAACAAUGUAUUAUAAGGAUUGAUUUAUAGAAGGUUAUGCAUGAAACUUGGUGUGUUUAUUAAUACACAUAGAAUUAAUGAAAUUUCAUACCUUAUUCAUAAACAGAUUUCUUGUUAUCUAUUUCUAAACUAAGAGCAAAAAUCGUUGAAGGCUAUUAUUAACUGUUGGGAUCCAUACAAAUCAAACAAUGUAUUGUUAAUCUGCCUUAUUGAAUAACUUAAAUUUCAAACAUGGAGAUAAACAGGAAAAUAUGAUGGGGUUCUUGCUAAUGAGAAUCAGGUAAUUACUAUCCGGCAAUUGCAAUUAUCUCAUGGCAAACCUGCAGUUAACCUUCAACAUUGUAAUAGCAAAUAUCUAUCUAACAAUGCAUUCAGGAUAACACUGAAAUGUCAUUAAACUAGUUCACACUUCAUAAUGAUAAAUUCGAUGAGAAUUGCAAUAGCAGAUACUAAAAUUACAUUUCAGGAUAUCGAAUGGAACUUUCACUCUUAAUCAGAGAGAAAGCUCAACAUGUCCUUUUUUUCUUGGUUGCCAAAGACUUGAGAGAGAAGAUUACAGCUGGGAGAGAAGUUUACACAUAUGGACUUGGGAAGCUUGGAGGGGUUGUUCAUAAAAUUGACUUGAGUAUGACUUGAGUCGACAAUGUUAAUUGUUCAAUCAUAAAAUACUAAUUAACUCAAAUGGUUAAAAUUGACUUGAGUAUGACUUGAGUCGACAAUGUUAAAUCAUAAAAUACUAAUUAACUUAAUAUUUAAUUGUUCAAUCAUAAAAUACUAAUUAACUCAAAUGGUUGUUCAUAAAAUUGACUUGAGUAUGACUUGAGUCGACAAUGUUAAAUCAUAAAAUACUAAUUAACUUAAUAUGCUGCUUCCGUUUAAUUAUCGACCCUCUCUUUUUAACACAUAAUGAUUGAAAUUUAUUUGGUUUCCACUCAACAUGUCCUUUUUUUCUUGUUUUCCACAAACACUUGAGAGAGAAGGUUACACAUGAGAGAGAAGUUUACACAUAUGACUUGGGAUGCUGAGAGUGGUUGUUCAUAAAAUUGAGUCAAUGUUAAAUAAUAAAAUAUUAAUUAACUCAAUAUUCUACUUUUGUUUAUGCUAUCAACCUUCUCUUUUUAACACAUAAUGAUUGAAAUUUAUUUGGGUUACACUCAAAAUGUGAGUCUCAACUCUCACCACCAAUUUAAUAUGUUCCACGUGAAUUUCAACUAAUAAAAAAAAGUGUUGAAAAGAGAGUUAAAAUGAGUGUUGUUAGCUACUCCCCGUAAUAACACUAUUAUAUGUAUAGAGUACUUAUUAGAAAAUUUUACUAAACUAGUGCAUAAUUUUUUUUAAUUACACAUCUUAUGUAAAUCGCCACUUAAAGUGUUUAUACCAUUUUUUUUCUUACUUUUUUUAUUGAAAUCGUCACGGUCAGUGGCGACAUGUUCUUUUUUUUUUUCACUUUCUUUCUUAGUGACGGAAACGCAUCCGUCACAAUAUACUAGUAUAAAAAAGAAUUUGUGACGCAAUGUGGAGAGAGAAUUCCGUCACAAACUAACAUUUCCUGACAAAAUUCCGUCGCCAAUUAUUUUGCAAUAUUCACUUAGAUUUUGUGACGGAAAGAACUUCGUCGCAAAGUAUAUUCCGUCGCUACGACGGACUACUUCUUUCAACACAUUCCGUCACUAAUUUCUUUUAGAGUAUGUAUUGGAAUUCUGUGACGGAUUUGUUUCCGUCACUAAUGUAAUUUUUUUUUUUGAAAAAAAGGCCAUGUCGCGACUGACGGUGGCGAUUUCAAUAAAAGAAAAAAGGGUAUCGCCACUUGUAAUGGUGAUUUACCCCAGUUAUGUAAUUAAAAAAAUAUAUGCACUAGUUUGAUAAUUUUUUAAAAAAUUGCACUAUGUAGGUACCAAAGUCGAUUACAACAUCCACAUACAUAUACACCGACACAAAAUAAAAUGUUUGGGUACAUACAUCUGGAUGUAGUUCAACUGGAAACAAGUUUAUGGCUUCUGGGUUGAAUGUGAAUCCACUGAAGGUGACACAAUUUUUGCAUUAGUGACAUGCACAGAAUGAAAAACCAUAUGUAGAAGAGAAUUAACAAAAGUUAUAAUCAAUCAUGCGACAGACAAUAGAAAAAUUUCCCUAGACUUAAUCAUCUCGAGCGUCAAUAGUCAAGAUCACCCAAGGCGGGUAAUAAGCAAGCACAUGCAGUUCAUAAGCAGAAUGAAAUGAAGCACGACCAACAAAUUGUAAGAGUAAAAGCCUUCUAGUAGGAAUAAUGAUACUUUCACACCUCUGUUAGAAGUGGAAAGAAGUGAAAUGAAGAAAGAGAUAAGACGAAAAGAAAAAGUAAGAAAGAGAAAAAGUAUGAGAUGUGAUAUAUUAUAAUAUAAGAGAUAAAAAUAAAAAUAUGUGGAAAUAAAGUGUAUAAAAAACAAGGUGUAUACAUACAUUAUUGUUCUUGUAGUGACCGAACUAGGUUUGCAGUUAAAACUAAUUGAAGUCCUAAAGGUUCCACGUCCAACACCAACCAUUUUAACCCCUGAUUCAGGGUGUGUUUGGAUGCACGUUGGAUCAGGCCUGAUCCACGUUUAAAGACCUCAAACGUGAUUUUUCCAUCUCCAUUGAUGUUUGGAUGCUAAAUGCUGAUCCAAUUCUGGCCCCAGAAUUGGAUCCAUCCUAACACAACAAUUUGUUGCUUCAGCAUCAAUGCUGAUCCAAUUGUCCCCUCACCCUUUUACAGAUCCAAUUCAAGUCUAUCAGAUCCAAUUCCUGAUAAAUGUAUCCAAACAUAAAUCAUGUCACUCAAACUCACGUUUACCAGAUCCAAUUCUUCCAGAUUCAAUUCUGGCCAGAUCCAAUUCUGCUAACGCUAAUCCAAACACACACUCACCCUUAUGGCCCUCAAGGGAACCACGUCUCCUCCUUUUACCAUGUGUGGACAAGAGAACCCACGUGAACCAAUUACCUUUUGUGCCUAUACACACUUGACGUGGAACCAAUAUGUCCACCACAAUGCUUGCCUUUAAUUCUAUAAAAACUACCUUAUUCUAUUCAAUGCAUUCACCAAACAUAGGAGGUGUAGCAUUAAAAGCAUAGCUUAUAAACUUUACUAAGCUCUUCCUAGAAAUUCUCUGAUAUAGCAAGUUCUUGUGUUAACUCAAUCAACACUUCCAAUUCAGCAAUGGCUUCCUCAACUUCUGCUAUGCAAUCUAUCCUGGCUAACCCUAUGAUCCGCAUGACCACCAGGUCAAGGGUGAACCAGUUCACCAUUCCUUCUGUCUACAUGCCAAGCCAGAGAAGGAACUCUAGCCUGAGAGUUAGGUCCAUGGCUGAAGAGCCAAAAAAGCAACCUAUUGAACCUGCUACUAGUGCAAGCCCAGUUACUCCAUCAGCACCACCACCAAAACCUCGUGCACCAAAGGUGAGUGAGCCAAGUGUUUGAAAAUUUUAAUUUGUAUAAUUUACAUAGUUGUGACUCUGUUCACUAUUUUCUUUACAUUUAGUCAUGCUAAUUACACCAUGGUUAUGAGACUUUUACUUACAUUAGUGACGGUAAAAUUGCAGGUGAGCACUAAGUUUUCAGAUGUGAUGGCAUUUGGUGGGCCUGCACCUGAGAGGAUCAAUGGAAGAUUGGCCAUGAUUGGGUUUGUAGCUGCAAUGGCAGUGGAAGUUGCCAGAGGGCAGGGAGUGUUUGAACAAAUAUCAGAUGGUGGAGUUCCAUGGUUCUUGGGGACUAGUGUGGUGCUCACUCUAGCUUCAUUGGUUCCAUUGUUUCAAGGGGUUAGUGUGGAAUCAAAGUCCAAAGGAGUCAUGAC
rnacentral:lncRNA from 1 species